rnacentral:antisense_RNA from 1 species
UGUGGGAGCGGGCUUGCUCGCGAAGGCAUUCUUUCAGUCAGUGAUUCAUUGCCUGACACACCGCUUUCGCGAGCAAGCCCGCUCCCACA